rnacentral:rRNA from 1 species
UACAGAGACUGCAAGCGUUAUUCGGAUUCACUGGGCGUAAAGGGUGCGCAGGCGGCCGGGUGUGUCAGAUGUGAAAUCCCGAGGCUUAACCUCGGAACUGCGUCUGAAACUACUCGGCUAGAGUACUGGAGAGGGUAACGGAAUUCACGGUGUAGCAGUGAAAUGCGUAGAUAUCGUGAGGAACACCAGAGGCGAAGGCGGUUACCUGGACAGUCACUGACGCUCAGGCACGAAAGCGUGGGGAGCAAACAGG